rnacentral:lncRNA from 1 species
GGGUAGAUAAGGAAGGAGGAGUCUAGCAUGACUCUCAGACUACUGACUUGGACCAGCAGGGGAAUGGCUGUGACAAUAAAUAAGAUUGGGAAAACAAGAAGAUAAGGGCCUCGCUCUGUUACCCAGGCUGGAGUGCUGUGGUGUGUUUGUGACUCACCGUAGCCUUGAACUCCUGGGCUCAAGCAAUCCUCCCACCUAAGCCUCUGGAGUAGCUGGGACUACAGUUCUCCUUCACCUUCCUCCAUGAGUAGAGGCAGCCUGAGGCCCUCACCAGAUGCAGAUGCCCAACCUUGAACUUUCCAACCAUUCAGAGUCAUUAGCCAAAUAAACCUUUUAUCUUUAUAAAUUACUCAGCCUCAGGUAUUCCUUUAUAGCAACACAAAACAGACUAAGACAGGAACCUACACUCCUUAGAAGAAGGCCAUAUGAUAUAAGGGUGUUGAGUCUAAGAUUUUAGUGUCUACACUUCGUCUUACAUUUUCCAUUCUUUCCAUUUUCACAAGUCCUAUGAUACAGUUGAAAAUCUUUCCUACGCACUAGUAAAGCCAUAGGAACUUAAAAUUAUUAAGUGUCAAGCACAUAUGAAAAUCAGACAAUGUGCAAAGAAAAACGGGCUAUGUGUUGCAUGAGAACGAGGAACUAAUGUUCAGUUUAGGGAUAUGAACUGUUCAGAAACUUGGUCUGAUCAAAGUUAUGUCAGCCUUAAUAGUAAUCUGACUGAUAAACAACUAAUACUUGAAAGACGGUACUGAUAUGGACUAUUUCACCUGGAGAUUGUUUACUUGAUAACUUUUUUUUCAAGUUCUGCAAGGUGAUUUAACAUCCAAAAAUAUAUAGUCAAUCCUGGGUAUUCAUGGAGGACUGGGACCAGGACCCCUCAAAUAUAUCAAAAUCCACAGAUGCUCAAAUCCCUGAUAUAAAAUGGCAUAGUAUUGACACAUAACCUUUGCACAGCCUCCCAUAUACUGUAAAUAAUCUCUAGAUUACAUAUAGUACCUAAUACAAUGUAAAUGCUAUAUAAAUAGUUGUUACACUGUAUUUUUAUUUGUAUUUUUUUAUUGUUGUAUUGCUUUUUCUUUCAAAUAUAUUCCAUUGGAGGUUGGUUGAAUCAGCAGAUAUGGAACACACAAAUACAGGAGGACAACUAUAUCUAAAUCUAGAUUAAUGUAAGCGGUGAGAAAAUAUUUUAUCUCCGUCUAAGUAGGUCCUACCAGAGGGGAAACUAGACUCACUCAAAGAUUGCUUUGAUCAAUCCACACACAGUUCAGUGAUGGACAGAGUGUCAGUAUCUGUUAUAUGUGUCACUAUCCCAUGCUAGAGGUGUCAAUAGAUUAUGUAACCUUUCUGAGGAAUCACAAUACAAUAAUUGAUAAUAAUAUUGAUCACAUAAACAUAGACUUCCUUGACACAGGAUUGCCACAGACCUUCAAUUUGUAAAAAAAAAAAAAAUGCAACAUCUGUGGAAGUACUAUAAAGAGAAGCAGAAUAAGGCAGAUAUGCCUGUAUAAGACUAAGGGAGAAUCUUAAAAGCUGCAAGAGAUGUACAAGGGAUCCUCAAUAAAUCCAUACAUCUGUGGCCAGUGAAUUUUUGACAAGAGUGCCAAGUCCAUUCAAUGAUGAAAUAAUAGUUUCUUUAAUAUAUGCUGUGAGAGAAAUGGAUUUCCACAUGCAAGACUAAAGUUGGGCUCCACUUCACACCAUAUGUGAAAAAUAAUUCACAACCUAAAUAUAAGAACUAAAGCCAUAUAGAGGAAAACGUAAGAGUAAAUCUUCAUGAUCUUGUGUUUUGGGUUCUUAGAUAAGACACUAAAAGCCCAGGAAGAAACAACAAAAAAUAGGUAAAUUGGAGUUCAUAAAAAAUGUGAAACUUUUAUAUCAAAGGACAUUUUCAAGAAAGUGAAAGACAACCUACAGAAUGGGAGAAAAUAUUUGUAAAUCCUAUGUCUGAUAACAUCCAGAAUAUGUAAAGAACACCUACAACUCGGCCGGGUGCGGUGGCUCACGCCUGUAAUCCCAGCACUUUGGGAGGCCGACGUGGGCGGAUCACCUAAGGUCGGGAGUUUGAGACCAGGCUGACC